GUUCUUGUAGUUGAACCACAACGGUGGCUUUUCAUGUCACUGGUCUAGGUUAAACCCCUGGCAAGAACU
rnacentral:tRNA from 1 species